rnacentral:snoRNA from 1 species
UUACAGUGAUUAAAAUAAUUUUAUUAUACCAAUUGUUCCGACUGAAUAGUUUYCGAACUACGGGUCGACAAACCGCUAUAUCGUUAAGUUUCAGCCUUGUAUGAUGUUU